UGGGAAAUAUUGAUACACGAUAACUGCAAAAAGUUAAUUAGUUACUCGUCACAAAGUUUCCCUAAAUUAAGUUUGCCUUCUGAUGACCGUAGUAGUUAUAGUACAGCCCUGCGGACAGAUACGGGGCAUAUAUGU
rfam:Folsomia candida strain VT population Fcan01_Sc007, whole genome shotgun sequence.